AUAUCUUCAAGCUGAUGAACAGCAGCGGAAUUACUGAGUCAGGGGAAAGCGAGAAGGUUUUGUUGCUGAUGGAAAGUGGUGCCAGGCUGCACACCACUCAAUAUGUUCGCGACAAGAGCAGCACACCUUCCGGAUUCACUCUCAAGCUGCGGAAACACGUUCGUAGCAAGAGGCUUGAAGAUGUCCGUAUGCUAGGAUAUGAUAGGAUGAUCCUUUUUCAAUUUGGACUUGGCAGUAAUGCACAUUUUAUAAUUCUGGAGUUUUAUGCCCAAGGAAAUAUCAUCCUCACAGAUUCGGAAUACACAGUGAUGACA